GUCUCUGUAGUGCAGUGGUUAGCGCGUUGGAUUUCUGAUUCAAAUGUCGUGGGUUCUAAUCCCACCUAGGAUU